AGAACCCUAUUCAGGGUCCAGGCCUGUCCGGGGCUCUCACGUCCCCUUCUGCUCAAGCACCGGGGGCUCCUGCAAAGCUUGUCAAAAUCCCUGCUUUUCCUGAUAUCUUUUCUAUGAAGCAGUUUAACAAGGAUCAUUCCCUUAGUCCUAUGCUGUCAGAUAUAGCAGCCAAGUCAGGCAUCAAUAAAUUACUCUGACAUAUAGCACUUCAUCAAAUACCUC